UCAGAGGAGCGUGCACAGGGAAGCAGUUGAUCCUUCUGCCUGAGCUAUGUGGGCCCACAUCUAUUCUCCAGCAUUGAAUGGCACUAGAUUUGCCAAACUUGUCAUUGCCGUAUGAGCCCUGGGAGAACUUUGAGUAGAUCCUCAAGGUCUCUGGUACUGCCUUGUGUAGUGAGGCUGAGUGGCAGCACAGAGGAGCAGGUGAACCUGGCAGAGCUGCCUGCAGCUUUGGACAACACAGUCAUGGUUCCCAGGAGUGGGCUUCAGCAUGCAGCCAUCACCUCCUACAGUCACAAACUGCAGUGCCUCAGGAUCCAGGUCAGGCAGAUUGCCAGGGAGAGGGACAAGGCAAGGCUGGACUUGGAGAAAGUGGAGAGACACUGCCUAGAGCUUGACAGGGAGUUGGAUGAGCUCUACGUCGCUCUCGAGCACACCCAGAGCAAGCUCAAUCUCCCUUUAAGAAUCUCCCACGUGAUUUGCCAUUGUGUCAGUGGCAGAGAAGUCCCUGAAGAUCCCACCUGCCCCUCUCCCCAGCCUCUCCCCACAGUCCCAGCAUCCCUCCAACUAAGCUUUCAUCUCCUGCUUUGUGCCUGGGAUGCUCAGGCAGAAACAGAGGCAAAAGAGCUGCUUUUGCAGCAAGCAAUCAAACACCAAGCAACACUGGAGGCCAGUACGCAGUUUCUUCAGGGCAAAGAGGACUUCCUGCAAGGGGGACUGAACCACACAGUGAGGGAGAACACAGAGCUGAAAAACAAGGUUGCGGACAUGGCUGAGAAACUGGCGGCCUCUGAGAAGCUGGUUUUGCAGCUGCAGAAGGAUCUCAACUGCAUUGUGAAGGACAAGCUGCGUCAGGUGGAGCCCCACAGCCCAGAGCUCCCGAACCAGAGUGAGCUCUUUGCCGAGAUUGUCCUGGAGUACGAGCGGCAGUGCCAGGUGCUGUGGAACCAGAACAGAGUGCUGCAAAGGGAGCUGGAAGGGCUGCGUCUCCAGCUACAAGAGAGCAGGGCUGUGCGAGGGCUGCCAGCAGGAGGCCUGUCCUCAGAGGGCUCCUCUCUGCCAGUGUGCCGCUCUCCCUGCCCUCUGGUUCCCACUUCUGUGUGCACAGAGAUGUCACUCCCAAUGGAGCAGCUCCAAGAGCAGCUCUGUGACCUGAAGGUGCAGCUGGAAACCAAGAUAAACUAUUAUGAGGAAGAAAUCGAGUUAAUGAGGAAAAACUUUGAGAGAGAGAGUAAGGACAGCGAGGAAAGCUUCAAGGCUGAGACACGCAAGAUGGAAGACCAGAAGAGAGACCUGGAAGAAACAGUUGCCAAGGGAGAGCUGUGCCAGCUGCUGGAGGAGAACAGCUUGCUGAAAAGUCAACUUGGGAGACUCCAGCGAGAGCUGAGGCAGGCAAAGGAGAAGGGCAGCAAACACGAUGAGAAACAUGUGAGCGAGUUCAGCGGAGAGAAGGUGGGGGAGCUGGCUGAAAUAGGAGAAUUAACAGCAUCGAGUGAGAAGAGCAAGGGCGAGAUCUCCCACCUGGAUGUCAAGCUGAGCCGUGAACUGGCUGAACACAAGGCUGGCCACUGCACUGGCCCUGGCACUGUCUGGCUGCGGAGCCAAAGGCUUGCAGAGGCUGAGCAGCUACGAGGAACAGAGAUUGCCGCAAGGCUGGAGCACCACCAGCAGCAUGCAGCAUGUUGGAUGGAGAUGGAGAUGCUCCAACAGCAGCUCAAGGCCUCGCAGAAGAAGCUCUUAGAAGCCAAAGCAAGCCUGAGCAGGACCCAGGCUCUGCAUGCUCUGCAGUUGCAGGAGGCCAAGGCCCAGAUGAACAACAUGGUGCCAAAGAAACAGUUUGAGCAGCUGCAGACAAGCUUGAGAGAGGAACAGUGCAAGGCCCAGAAGCUCCAGGAAAACCUCCACCAGCAGGCUGAGCAGAUGUGCAGGCAGCUGGCAAGGACUCAGGAGGAACAUGAGCAUCUGCUGCAGGCGGCUGUGGAGCAGGCAGAGGGGCUGGAGCAGAAUCUGAGUAGUGCUGAAGCUGCGCUAGUAGAGAAAGCGACUCAGCUCAAAGAUGCCCAGGCCCAACUCUCCAGGAAUAAACUGCUCAUCAAAGACCUCUGUGAGGAGAAGAGGGGGUUUGCAAUGGCGCUGCAGGCAGCUGAGCUGAAGCAGAAGAGCACUGAGGAGAAGAACCAGGUGUUAGAGGAACAAGCUGCAGCUCUGAAGCAGCUCAUCAGAAAAAUCACACCAGCAUCCCUGAGUGGGUGAUGGGGCACCCACUGUGGCAACCCUGUCCUUUUCUGGGGUUUGUCAGGUGCGGAAGGGAAGUUCCUUCUGGGCUCUAGGAGACUUUGGCUCUCCUAAAGCCUGAGCCUAGGAUCCAAACCAACCUGUUGCCAGAUUGUUGCACCUGCGAUGAGCAGGAUGGGCUGAGGGAAGAGCCUCCAAGGCCUUGGGGCAGCACUGGUGAUCCCUAUUCAGCACUGCACUUCUUCAAAGGAGAUCAGGACGCAUGGACAGUGGUACCAUCAUCGAUCUCAAAUUCUCCAUAGUCUCUUAAACACCGCACCUACAAUGAAAAAUGCAGCUUUCAGAUCAUCAGAUCUCCCAUAGAAAACUAGAUAUCACUGCUGACUUACAACAUGUGCCCUACAACUCUAAGUAUGGACACAUUCCUACCCGCCUGCAGGAGCCUUAAUAUAGAGCAGACCUGGAAAUGCAGAACCGCACUGAUCCCACAGUCUGUGGACUCUCCCUGACGUUCUCUUCCUGCCUCUGUCUGGAGCAAGAAGCACCAGUGAGCAGAUCAGCCCAGUCCUCCACAGAGACUAGAGGAAGAGCAGCACGAGAGACAGGGCCUGGGGAACAGCAGCAGCACUUCCAGGAGAACCUCCACCCCCACAUACCAGAAAAUGACAAUCUGUUAACACUCUAACUGUGUUAACGAGCAGGCUGAUUGCCAUUAUGUGUUCUUUUAAAGAGAACAUCAGAACAGAGCACUUUGGCUACAGGCUCUGAUUUCUCUUGCUUUGUUGUAUCAAUUGUAUAAAAUGAUUUAUAGUCUCAACUAUCAGAAUCCAUUUAAAAUAACAACAAAGAAAACUAGUUAACAAUCCUUAA